rnacentral:lncRNA from 10 species
GUAAGUAGCUCUCUAUAAUAUGGGUGGGGCUCAUCCAAUCAAUUGAUUGCCUGACUAGAACAAAAUGAUUGGCAUCCUUUCGCAGGAAGGUAUUCUCCAGCCAACUGCCUUUAGCGAGGAACUGUAUUUACCUUCCCGGGCUGUCCUCCAGCUCCAGCCUGCCAGCCCAUGCUGCAGCUUUUGGACUUACUAGUAUCCAUAAUUAUGUGACUAAUUGCAUAUAAUCAAUCUCUCUCCCUCUUUCCCUAGACACAUACGUACACACACACACACACACACACACACACACACACUCAUUCUAUUGGUUCUGUUUCCCUGCAGAACCCUGACUAAUACAUCCUUAGACCCUUUUUGAUUGGUUAUUUCUGCUGUUAUUCAUUUACAUUCCUUAAAAUCUCGGUUUUGUCAUUGUAGGAGGAAAAUUAGAAGACAAGUAUCCUCAUUUCCACCUGGAUCCAGUCUUUCUUCCUUGUUACUUUUAUUAACAAUAUCAGUUAAGGUUUAUAUGGAUGUCUUGCUUUAGCCUGUACAAAAACUACUUUGUAUAUGCCUUAUUUUAUUAAUUUUGCUUUCAUCAAAUUCUCUGAUCAUAACUCUAUAUUCUUGUAAGGAAUGCUCAGAAUUAUACUAUUUCACUCCAAAUUUUAUGAUUAUUGAGAAGAAACUGGGUAUAGAAGGUUGUGGGACCAGUUUGUGAUCUAUUGCUUUAAAAUUUGGUCAAGUCACUCAAAUUCUCUAGCUGUACCUAUGAAAUAGCUUUAAUAUUUCAAUCCCCUGCAUUUUCUUUGCAUAAUAUGGAGUUUGAAUUGAAGUGGUCCUGAAUUUGAGUGCUGCAUAUGCUACUUUUGAGAUAUAUGAUCUUGAGCAAGUUGCUUAAUCACAUUAAACCUCAAUUCACUCAUUUUUAAAAUAGAAUAAAUAAUAGCUACUUUACAGUGUUGAGAAAAGAAUAAGAUGAAACAGUUUAUUAAAAACAUAGAAGAGUGCUUAGGACAUAAUAAAGUCUACAUAAAUUGUGCCUAUUGUUAUUACUAAUACCACUAUUAUUUUUCUUCAUUUUUUCCUUAAUUCAAUAAAUGUUUAUUAAAAGCCUACAAUGUAUCAGGCACUGCCCUAGGUACUUUGGAAACAUCAAUGAGCAGAACAGAAAAGAAUGUUCUCUCAUGGAGUUUAUGUUCUGGUGGAUUUAUUACUGUGGAAUGGGAUUGUGUGUAAUAAGAUAUUUUGUAAGCUAUUGUGUUAAUAACAAGCCAUCUAAAACUUGUGUCCCCAGAUGAGAUACAUUAAAUCUGCAGAUCGGCUGGGUGGUUCCUCAGGUUUUGGCUGUACUUGCCCACAUGCCUGGGGGUCUGUGGGUUGUGUCUGACCUGGGAUGGCCUCAGCAGGGAUGAGUAGCACAGGACAGCUCAGAUCUUCUCUCUGUGUGUCACCUUCUAGCAGGUUAACCCAGGAAUGUUCUCAUGGCAAUGGCAGAGGAAUAAGAGCAAGAGUAGAAACAUGCAAGUGCUUUUUCGAGCCUCUGUAGCAUGUCUGCCAACAUCCCCUGGGCCACAUCAAGACACUUGGCCAGCUCAGAGCCAGAGUGGGAGUUGCAGUACAAUGUUACAAAGGGUGUGGAUACAGGGAGGUGUGAAGAAUUGGAACCAUUAAUGCAACCAAUCUAUCCCAUCUAUAAAACACAAUUUGGUGUACUGAUUAUUUGUAGGUGUGGAUACGUACAUAGAAGGUUAAUUCCUGAGACUGUUCUUUAAAGUCUUGAAGAAGUAGUAUAUGACAUUUAUUUCUACGUGCGUGGCUAGUCUGCUGGAAGUCCAGCUUUGAAACCAAACUUCAAGUUGUAAGAACACAGUGUUGAAGAUCAAAGGCCUAGGUUAGCUCAGCCAGCAGGUUGGGCAGGCAAGUGGGAGCAAGGUGUGAACUGUUUCCAGAGGUCAGGGACAAAUGAUGGGUCAGGAAGUUCAAGACAGGCACACGUUAAUAGGUGGCCUAAUUGUCAGGCACCUGUGACAUCACCUUGAUACUGAAGCAACUCUCUGGCCUGGAUGGCGGCAUGAGAUGUUAGUCUAAACCGGGGUCAGGAAAACACUCGGCUGGAGAGUAGGACCAAGUGAAGGCUGCUGGGAAUGGACACAGACAUCAUCUACUAGAGGGGGCCACUUUAUCAUUUCACUUGUAAAUGUAACUCUUGCCUGUCAUUUAAUGACUAUCAUGUGCACACAUGCCUUCUUGUUUACCCACUAGUGAUCCAUAGCAAAUCUGCUGCCUACUCUCCUAAGACUUGUUGAUAUACCUCCCUAGCAUUUCUCUCCAGAGAGAAGUUUUAAUGGUGCACCUCUGCACAGGUGUGCCUCCAGUGACUUCAUUUGACCUUUUGAUGAGUAGCCAGAAACAAUGAUGAUUCAUGCCUAUGUUCCCUUUCUUUCAAUAUUCAACAUAUUGGAAUAUGAAUCUACUCUUCUGCAUGGUCCUUCAAAGUUCAUAUUUUUUUCUUAAUAAAACAUUUUAUGUACAUUAUAGUUGAUGUUAUUGAAACAUCAACAAACAAAGCAAAUAUUUUGCCAAAGACGUUCUAUAGAGCUCAUUCCCUCUGCUUCCAUACCUCCAAGAAUAAAGCUUUUUAUCUUCAGGAAGAUGGUUUCUCUGCUCAGUGUUUGACCAGAAAAUGACCAAACCGAGAUGGAAGCUCCAAAUGGGAGGAGUCUUUGCAUUGUGUCUCUGCCAGAGAAAAAGUUUUCUCUUAUUCACAAUAGCGAA